rnacentral:pre_miRNA from 1 species
GGACUGUUGGGUUUUGCACUCAGUAACAAGGAUUCAUUCUUGUGCCUAGCAAAUAACAGGGAGAAUAUUUGUCAGUAAGUGCAAUUAACAGCUAUUC